GGUAUGCGUCUAAUAAAACGAAAGUUUUAAAACUUGACCUAUCUAAUCUUGUUCCCAACUUCCUUCUAUCACUCGCUUAUCACUCGAUCAUAAAACAAAGUGCUAUAAUGUUAUCUGUGAAUUAACAAUUAUUUACUUACCUACUUAAUUAUUAAUUUAUAGGAAUGACAACAAAGCCAUUACAUACUCAACACCUCGAUUCGAUAAUAGAAUAUCUACUUGAGAAAAACGUAUUGAAGGCUAAUUAACCUUUUUAUAUUGUUAACAAUUGUUGAGAGCGCAUACAAACAAUAGAGUAAAGUGUGGUUCAUCAUAUCAUAAGAGAGCUAACAAAACAUACUUAGCCCGGUCUUUAUAGUGGUGAUUAAUCGUUGACAAAUCGUAUAAACGCGAUUACUGUCACCGCACGCAAUGUGCCACUAUAAGAACAAAAUGCCAACAACAAGCCGAUCACAUUCGAGCUCGUCCAGUUUGUCUAGUCUGGUUUACUUCGUUGUGGCAGACUCUGGGACAAGAUGGAGCGCAAUCAUCGGUCGGCCGGCAUUGGUGUUGGACAUAUGGACGCAAUGUUGGACAACAUCACUCCACAUACCUGUGAACAGGCUUCUUCUGCCUAGAGACCAAUAUUCUGUACACAUAGAUAUACCUAUAACGUACAUUAUGUGAACAUGACAAAAAAAAAAUUGGUAGUAGGCCGCGCUAAAGAAGUAUGCAGCUUCUUAAUUGAAAUGUUUUGUGGCUAAUGAAAGUUAUUUUGUAAUGAAAUUA